rnacentral:rRNA from 1 species
GACGAACGCUGGCGGCGUGCCUAAUACAUGCAAGUAGAACGCUGAAGAGAGGAGCUUGCUCUUCUUGGAUGAGUUGCGAACGGGUGAGUAACGCGUAGGUAACCUGCCUUGUAGCGGGGGAUAACUAUUGGAAACGAUAGCUAAUACCGCAUAACAAUGGAUGACACAUGUCAUUUAUUUGAAAGGGGCAAUUGCUCCACUACAAGAUGGACCUGCGUUGUAUUAGCUAGUAGGUGAGGUAAUGGCUCACCUAGGCGACGAUACAUAGCCGACCUGAGAGGGUGAUCGGCCACACUGGGACUGAGACACGGCCCAGAGUCCUACGGGAGGCAGCAGUAGGGAAUCUGCGGCAAGGGGGGCAACCCUGACCGAGAAACGCCGAGGGAGGGAAGAAGGUUGUCGGGUCGUAAAGCUCGGUUGUAAGUCAAGAACGGGUGUGAGAGUGGAAAGUUCACACUGUGACGGUAGCUUACCAGAAAGGGACGGCUAACUACGUG